CUACGGGAGGCACCAGUGAGGAAUAUUGCACAAUGGGGGGAACCCUGAUGCAGCAACGCCGCGUGGAGGAUGACGCAUUUCGGUGUGUAAACUCCUUUUAUAUGUCAAGAAAAUGACGGUAGCAUAUGAAUAAGCGCCGGCUAACUCCGUGCCAGCAGCCGCGGUAAUACGGAGGGCGCAAGCGUUACUCGGAAUCACUGGGCGUAAAGGACGCGUAGGCGGGUUGAAAAGUCAGGUGUGAAAGCCUACAGCUUAACUGUAGAACUGCACUUGAAACUCUCAAUCUAGAGUAUGGGAGGGGCAGAUGGAAUUAGUGGUGUAGGGGUAAAAUCCGUAGAUAUCACUAGGAAUACCUAAAGCGAAGGCGAUCUGCUGGAACAUCACUGACGCUAAGGCGUGAAAGCGUGGGGAGCAAACAGGAUUAGAUACCCGUGUAGUC
rnacentral:rRNA from 1 species